UGGGGAAUUUUGCACAAUGGGGGAAACCCUGAUGCAGCGACGCCGCGUGAUUUAGAAGGCCUUCGGGUUGUAAAAAUCUUUUUUACGGGAUGAAAAUGACAGUACCGUAAGAAUAAGGUCCGGCUAAAUACGUGCCAGCAGCCGCGGUAAUACGUAUGGACCGAGCGUUGUCCGGAAUCAUUGGGCGUAAAGGGUACGUAGGCGGCCUAGUAAGUUAGAAGUGAAAUAAUAUAGCUCAACUAUAUAAAGCUUUUAAAACUGCUAGGCUUGAGAGAUGGAAGGGAAAGGGGAAUUCCUAGUGUAGCGGUGAAAUGCGCAGAUAUUAGGAAGAAUACCGGUGGCGAAGGCGACUUUCUGGUCAUCAUCUGACGCUGAGGUACGAAAGCGUGGGUAGCAAACAGG
rnacentral:rRNA from 1 species